GUUUUAUCAGAGUCUGUAUAAAUGCUUAACAGCAAUUUGAUCCAUACUUGCAAAAACUAUUUAAAGGCUAAUUUUUCAAUUGUAGCACAAUAGUUUCCUGAUCAGAGGAUAAAUCUGAGUGCCAUUCCAAUGUCAAUUACAUUUUUCCUAGUUUGUUGCACAAUUUGAAGUAUUGGAUAAAGAAAAAAGCGAGGAAGGCUGAGCCUUGUGGCCACAUGUCUGUCACCUGUAACAGCACCCCUAGGCAUAAGUGUUUACAGCCGUUUAGGAGAUAUUCCCUUCCAGAUACAGGCAGCUACUGAACACACCAAUCCACCCCGACAGGAAACCAUAUGAAUGCCGUAAACAGCCAAACCGGAACCAUACAAAUGCUGUAGAGAGCCGAAUAGGAAAACCAUAUGAAAGGUUUACACUCCUAGCAGUCGAACUGGAACAGCAUACAAAAAAAAAAAAAAUAAAACCAUGUCAAAAUCAUCCAAAAUGGUCCAAAAUAUAGAUCAAAGUCCUUCAUGACCAAAUGAAGAAUGGCUUUACUGCCCAAAACCAGUUCCACAGAGUCUUCUAUCCUGGAGAUAAUUAUCUCCAAGGACAGAAGCAAAACUCCAUUGAACACAUGGCAGCAAGAGACAAUAAAAU